UGAAAAGCUAUGAAAAGAAGAGUACUCCUUUCAUUUGUUUUCAGAGAGGCUUUGGGCGGUGAAAAUAGCCAACAAUGAAGGAAGGAACAUGGUCUUGGAGCUGUCUGUCUGAUAGGUAAGGCAGAAUGGUGCCCGCCUUUAUCGGGUUAGAGGUGGAUCAUCUCCACGAAUAUAGGUGGUAACACGGCUUUCGUCCUAUGG
rnacentral:ncRNA from 1 species